UACAGAGGGGGCAAGCGUUAUUCGGAAUUAUUGGGCGUAAAGGGCGCGUAGGCGGCUUUGCAAGUGACGGGUGAAAUCCCUCGGCUUAACCGAGGAACUGCCUGUCAAACUGCAUGGCUUGAGACCGGGAGAGGUGAGUGGAAUUCCCAGUGUAGCGGUGAAAUGCGUAGAUAUUGGGAGGAACACCAGUGGCGAAGGCGGCUCACUGGACCGGUACUGACGCUGAGGUGCGAAAGCGUGGGUAGCAAACAGG
rnacentral:rRNA from 1 species